rnacentral:rRNA from 1 species
UACGUAGGUGGCGAGCGUUUAUCCGGGAUUUAACUGGGCGUAAAGCGCGGUGUUAGGCGGUUUCGUAAGUCGGAUGUGAAAGCUCCUGGCUCAACUGGGAGAGGCCAUUCGAUACUGCGGGACUUGAGGUCGGGAGAGGGACGUGGAAUUCCCGGUGUAGUGGUGGAAUGCGUAGAUAUCGGGAGGAACACCAGUGGCGAAGGCGGCGUCCUGGCCCGCACCUGACGCUAAGACGCGAAAGCGUGGGUAGCGAACGGGAUUAGAUACCCCCGUA